GCAGCUUUCAGUGCAACGAGCUGCAGGAGGAGCAGCUGGGUUCACCCCUGGAUUCUGGCAAGCUGCAAGGAAAUCCAUCACACCUGGCUGCAAACCUGUGAGGGCGGGGAGGGGAAAGCAGGGAUUUCAGUGGCUCCGUGCUUGUGUGCAGGACGUGAGCAAAGCUGGUUGCAGGGAAUCAGUGCAGAGGAAUACCUGCAGAAUGCACGGAUAAAGUUGAAGAGGAUACGUAAUGCCCUUGCAGAAUCUUAAUAUUCCAGAAAUAGGGUACCAGGUAUAAACCUCUGGAGAAGUCACCUCAAGUCUUGAGAGCAGUGAAAUCUGAGGCAUUUGGAGUGAAUUACCCAGUCCUAUCGUAUAUUUGUCUUGCAUGAACCCAGCUGUAGGGGAGCUGAGUACCUGUUUGCCUGCACACGGUGAUGGGUAUGCAACACUCAUCUGCAAAUCUUGUGCAGACAACUGAGCCUAUUUCAUUAACUUAUUACUACUCUCACUCUUACCUGCCUCCUACCCCUUCAUUAAAGUGAUGUACUCCUUCUAGACUGCAUUAGAAAUUAUUUAAAAAGGGGCAGUUUUCCAUAAAAUAUUUGCAAUGGAGCCUAGGCAUCAUUAUUGCAAGAUCUUAGUAACAAUAGUAUUAACUUCCACGGCUCUGAGGAAGACACAGGUGUUCUUUAACCUCCCCUCCUUGUGUAACCUUGAGCAGAUAAUUGCUUAGAGAAGUUUUAUUAUCCCUAUUUUACUAAAACCCAUCUGAAUUAUUAAAAAAACCACUCUUGGUCACAGACAAAAGUCUCAGAUUCAUGCAUCCCAAAAUCUGUAUUGGGAGUGAGGAGAAUUCUUGCUGUGAGGGUCUGAGUACAGCACGCCGCCCAUGGAGCUGGUGUCAUAGCAAAGUACAGAACGCAGCGCACUGCAGAUGCUGCUGCUGAAGUAAAACUGCAAGGAAAAAAAAAAAAAAGUGCUUUCACUUAGUGGGUGACACUCCCGACAGUUUGAUUACUUGGAAUUUAAGGUGAAAAUGCCCAGCCAGAGAGAUCAAGUCAAGAUAGAGAAAAAUGAGGAGCACGUUAAAAUAAGAAAAUUGGACUUUUUGUGAAGAACACAAUUGCUUGUUCAUAUGUUGCUGAAAUGUGAAGAGGCCUCCAGGAUGCACCAAAGAAAGUAGAGAGCAGGAAGAAAGAUGAAGCUUAAAUUAUCAUCAUCAGCUCUGUUUGUCAAGCAAGGUAUGCACGUCUGAGGAAAGCUGUGUGUGGCUGCUGCUGCUGACAGAGCCCAGGCAGUGUGCUGUGUGCUUGCGCCCCAUCUGGAGGGAUCCCGUGAAAGAGAAACCCUCAGGCCUGGAGGAGGACAAGACUGAUGCCAGCCUCUUGGCACCAAAGCCCACCAGGACUGAAGCUCAUUGACCUGCUGUGGCUGUGCAGAAAAGCUGAACCACUCAGCACCUCGCUGCUCCAAUGCUGCUUGUGUGAUUCAUUCCAGGGGCUCACAAGAAGGGAAUCCUCUCACCAGUCAUGGGAAAGGGACUUUGUCUGGACAACAUCAAUUUUGCAGUAGACUUUUUGCUCAGAGGAGGCUUCCUCAGUGCACCUCCUGUCGCACCCGGGCUUAUGAAGCCCUGCAUUUCUGCUGGAAACUUCAGGGACUUUUCAUCUUGGAUGUCAGACAAAAAAGUCAGUUUGCCCUUGCAAAUAGCAUCCUCCAAAGGCAGUCCCCCUGCAGCAGGAAUGUCGUGGAUGGCAUGGGGAGAAGCACAAGGGGUAAAGCAGCUUGACAAGAGCACAAACCAGCAGCUGGUAUUGUUUUGCUUGUGCAUCUGUAUGAUAAGAUUUUAUAUGAUUAAAUUGUUCCACAAGGUAGCUGUAACUAAGUUAUAAAAAGUCUCAUAAAUGUCCCAGCUGGUAGGUAGCAGACUGUGAGACGCAGCCGAUGGUCAAAUGUAUACUCUAAUCGGUCAUGAAAAAUUAUAUUUAAUUCACUUAGGUUUACUUGAGAGAGACUUGAAGCUAAAGGAUCAGCCAAAAUACCCUUCAAUUCUGAAACUCUUUUGGCCCAAUUCCUAAACUCUGAAUACCCGAGAAUUUAAUAUUUGACAUUUCAAGCCAGGACACACCUGAUCCUUGUGGCUUAAACCUUCAGUAAUUAUAUAAAUGAACUAACAAAAUGAUUUUUUUCUACAUUGAAGUUCCUUUUAUCUACAUAACUUUCCUAGGAAAGCACUGUAACUGUAAAUAAGGGCCUCAUGUUAUAAACUUCUGUCUUAGGGGUUUUUAUUUUGGUAAGCCUUUCUUGAAGAUAUGUUUGAUUUUUAUUUAUUUAUUUAUUUAUUAAUUUUUAUUUAAUCUUCCUUGCAAAAAGUUUUGUUUUGAGAGCUGUGUUACUGAAGACUGGUACUGUGGACAGCAUAGCUUGCUGAAUCUGCUCCGAGUGAGAAAUAGCUUUCCUCUAUCAGCACCAUCUUGUCUAUGUUAUAUGUGAAUCAGCAGCACAAGUAGUGUGCUUUGGUGAAUAAAAGGGUUUUUCUUGUUUGUUUUGGUAUGGGGAAGCAUCCACAGGAGCAGUUGCUCUUCAGAAAUUAAUCUGCAUUAUUUAUUAAUUAAUCCUCUGUCGCUGCCUCACCUCCCGCAGUCUGGGUUCCUGGUGUUGGCAGCUGUAUUUAUGCUGAAUGUACAAAGAAAGCAGAGCAUCUCUCAGGCACGUGGGGAAGAGCAGGUCUCCAUCUCCGUUUUGGUGGCACUAAUAACCCCGGAAAAGUUGUGUCCCUGUCGCUGUUGGUCUCCUCUUUGGGGUUUGGUUUUGUUGCAGUGGAAAUUAGUCAGUGUUGCUGUAAAUAUCCUAAGAUUAUAAUGAAUAAUAAUGAUACAAGUCCCUAUUAUACUGUAAAUUUCAAGCCUUCCAGCAGCAAUGAAAGACGAACUGAGGGCUGAGGGAACUGGGGAGAAGCAUAGGUUUGCCCCAUUGAUUGUAUUAAAUUCUUUGGGUUGGGUCUCCUCUCUUCAUCUAUCUCUCUCUCCUGUCUGUCUCUGUUGUAGAAACUCAGUAUUCACCUUGGCUAUGCCCAUGUUAGCAAGGCCUGAAGUGCAAUGGGAAUAGGUUGGUGGAGUGAGACUACUGGUAUUGGGACCACCGUGCUAUUGGGAUUGCAAGUGGGGUUACGCCAGGCUGGUAGUCUCAUGUAUUAAAUGUCCCUUCACAGUUGGGCUGUGUUAGCCACUCUACUGGAGUGUGUCAGGAAAAGCUCCCAUUGAUUUAUUCUUCACAAAAAAAAAAUUGCUUUCUUUAUAAUGCUUUUUCUUUGUGGAAAGAGCCACAUUUAAAUUGUUCAAAUUUGCAGAGAAAAUUGAAUCUAUUUUUUUCUCUUCUUCAUUAAAGUCUCAAUCAAAAAGCACUUGAUUUUCUGCCCUAACAAAAAUGGAAGAGCAAAAUAACAUAACAGGGGUAGCAGAUGCCAGGCACAUAUUCUGCCAAUACCCACAGUUGUCAGGAUGGGCAAAUAUUUUUCUGCAUUUAAAAGUGCGUAUUUUCUGUUAAUUUCACAGGAAUACACUUUCAGGAGUUAUAUCUUCUCAUACCAGUGGACAGUGAAACAUGCCUUAGGUGAUUGUUCAGAACACCUCAUAAAAAGAAAAAUAAAUCAGGUAAUAUGUCCUAAUCAGGUCUUGUCCUGAACUCAUUGCCAUCUUAAAUCCUUAAGUGAAAAAAUAUUUUCCCCUUACAUUACACCUUUUAUCAUUAGAGAAUAUAACUUUGAAUGUUGUUGCUUGUGUAAAAUCCAGUCCCUCUUCUAAAUCCUUUGCCUCAGUUAUGCUGCAGCAAUGAGUGCCAUUUGGAGUUUCUACCUCCAGUUUUGUCUUACCACUGAAGAUACUUUCUUUCUUAUGAAAAAAAAUAUAUGUAUAUGCGUGUGUGUGUAUAUACAUAUUUAUAGAUUUAAGAGAGUUUUUAAUUUAAGAUAAUGAUUUAAGAAAAAUGAAAAAUCCAGGAUGGACUCUUCUUGUUUCACAUUCACAAAAAAGCUUAUUUUGGAAAAUGUUAUCCAGAAAGAUGAAAGCUUUGAAAAGCUCUUGGAGUUUUUAUUAGAAGCUGGUUGUUAUACUCAGAGAACCAAACAAGAAUAAAUGAUCAAAGACAAAGCUUU